UACGUAGGGGGCAAGCGUUGUCCGGAAUCAUUGGGCGUAAAGCGCGUGUAGGCGGCUCGGUAAGUCCGCUCUGAAAGUCCAGGGCUCAACCCUGGGAUGCGGGUGGAUACUGCCGGGCUCGAGUCCGGAAGAGGCGAGUGGAAUUCCCGGUGUAGCGGUGAAAUGCGCAGAUAUCAGGAGGAACACCAAUUGCGAAGGCAGCUCGCUGGAACGUAACUGACGCUGAGACGCGAAAGCGUGGGGAGCAAACAGG
rnacentral:rRNA from 1 species